AUUGAACGCUGGCGGCAGGCUUAACACAUGCAAGUCGAGCGGAGACGAGGUGCUUGCACCUUAUCUUAGCGGCGGACGGGUGAGUAAUGCUUAGGAAUCUGCCUAUUAGUGGGGGACAACAUUCCGAAAGGAAUGCUAAUACCGCAUACGUCCUACGGGAGAAAGCAGGGGAUCCUCGGACCUUGCGCUAAUAGAUGAGCCUAAGUCGGAUUAGCUAGUUGGUGGGGUAAAGGCCUACCAAGGCGACGAUCUGUAGCGGGUCUGAGAGGAUGAUCCGCCACACUGGGACUGAGACACGGCCCAGACUCCUACGGGAGGCAGCAGUGGGGAAUAUUGGACAAUGGGGGGAACCCUGAUCCAGCCAUGCCGCGUGUGUGAAGAAGGCCUUAUGGUUGUAAAGCACUUUAAGCGAGGAGGAGGCUACUGAGACUAAUACUCUUGGAUAGUGGACGUUACUCGCAGAAUAAGCACCGGCUAACUCUGUGCCAGCCGCCGCAGUAA
rnacentral:rRNA from 1 species